AUAAAAACUCCACGACAGACGCAUAAAAAACGCACAACCCCAGGCCGCCACGCCACACUAAUAUACGACCCAGUAUAACUGAACAUCGAACCAAGUUACCCUAGGGAUAACAGCGCCAUCUUCCCCCAAGAGCCCUUAUCAACGGGGAGGCUUACGACCUCGAUGUUGGAUCAGGACCCCCCGGCGGUGCAGCCGCUGCCAAAGGUUCGUUUGUUCAACGACUAAUGUCCU
rnacentral:rRNA from 1 species